rnacentral:rRNA from 1 species
CGCACGCGUGCUACACUGACGCAUACAGCGAGUACUUCCCAGCUCCGAGAGGCAGCUGGUAAUCAGCAAUAUGCGUCGUGAUGGGGAUAGAUCCUUGGAAUUAUGGAUCUUGAACGAGGAAUUCCUAGUAAGCGCAAGUCAUUACCUUGCGCUGAUUAAGUCCCUGCCCUUUGUACACACCGCCCGUCGCUCCUACCGAUUUCGAGUGAUCCGGUGAACCUUUCGGACCGCGGGGGUCUCGUGCCUCUGUGGAAAGUCAAGUAARCCAUAUCACUUAGAGGAAGGAGAAGUCGUAACAAGGUUUCCGUAGGUGAACCUGCGGAAGGAUCAUUA